UACAGAGGGUGCAAGCGUUGUUCGGAAUUAUUGGGCGUAAAGGGUGCGUAGGCGGUUUGGUAAGUCUGGUGUGAAAUCUACAGGCUCAACUUGUAGUCUGCACGAGAAACUGCCGGGCUUGAGUGUGGGAGAGGUGAGUGGAAUUCCUGGUGUAGCGGUGAAAUGCGUAGAUAUCAGGAGGAACACCUGUGGCGAAAGCGGCUCACUGGACCAUAACUGACGCUGAUGCACGAAAGCUAGGGGAGCAAACAGG
rnacentral:rRNA from 1 species